rnacentral:rRNA from 1 species
UCGAGAUAAGUAUUCCCAUCCUUCGGGAGUAAGGCCCCACGUAGACUAUGUGGUUGAUAGGUCAGGAGUGGAAGCGUGGUAACACGUGCAGCGGACUGAUACUAAUAGGCCGAGGGCUUGACCUA